CCCCGAUCGAUGCAAUAUCAUUAGGCGAGCGGCACGGAGCCGUGCGGGGCCGGGGGAGCGGGGAGGCGGCGGCACAGCCCGGGGCCGGGCCGUGGGCCCGAGCCGCUGCUGGCACGGCUGAACCCGCCGGGCUUUUCCUCCCUCUCCGCCUUCCCGAGCAGGGCUCGGAGCGCCCCGAGGCCGCGGGGAUGGCCGGGGGCAGAGCCCCGUGCCCGGGCGGGGUCCCGGCACCGCACCGCUCUGCCCGCGGCCGCUGCGCGCCCCAACGCGGAGCCCGCUCGGAGGCGGCCGGGGCCCUCUCCCCCUCUUUCCAUUCGCCAGCUGGAUGCUAUUGAUCCCUUCCCUCGCCUCCUCUUUCUUCCUGAGCUCCCUCUCUCUAUUUAAUUCCCAUCCCUCCGCUCCUCCGAAGCCGCCCGGGCAGCUCUCCGAGAGGAGCCGGGCAGUGCCGGCACCCCGAGGCGCGGAGCCGGGGGCGGAAGAGCUCGAAAACCCAAGCGCCACGGCCAGAAACACAUCCAGAGGAGUGGGACGCGCACCUGCGGGCAGGGGUUGUGGCAGCCGGCGGACAGGGAUGACACCUGGAAAUGCAGACCGGACCCUGGACCCCUUGGAGCCGAUGAGCCAUCGUUUCGGGCAGUUUGUUGGGAUGCUGAGCUGGAAGGACAGCCAUAAAGCUGCGGUGAGGGGAGGAUGCUGAAGGAUGGCCCCUGGAUGCCCGGAGCGGGGUCCCACUUCCCCAUGUCCCCAGAACACCCAAGGGCUCGUGAACCCCCCUGGGGUGCCCAGGGAAGCUUUGUUCUCUCACCCUCACUCCUGGAGCUGGACUGGGAAGUGCUGCUGGAUGUACCAAGCGUGUGCAGCCCCGAGGUAUCUCCUUCAGGAGCCUAACGACGGAAAAAUCCCUCCUAGGUCACGCAGCCCCGUCCUCCCUCCCUGCUGGAGCAGGGCUUGGUACGGCCAGCAUUGAUUUCAAUAGCAGGUCGAUUGAAAUCAGCAGUGGGGAGGAAUGGGGGGGGCGCGGCCCCUGUGACAAAGAGGCUUCUGCAGCCCCAGCUGUGUGGAUGGGAUCCCAAUGGGAUCUGCUCUCAGGGUCCCCAGUGGCCAUGUCACCCCUGUGCCACGGGUGGCUGCACGGAGGUGACAUGAUGUCCCCCAUGGGUGCUGGGGCACCGCGGGAGAAGAGACAUGGCUUUUCCCUCUCUCCUCUCCAGAACACAAUCGUCUUACUCCUCCCGAGCACCCACCGUGCUCCUGUCCCCAGAUCUUGCCCACAGUCAGGCCAGCCAUUGCACCACUCUGCAAUUCCUAUGAAGGGUCUGCUGCUUGCAAGGGGCCCAGGAGUCAAUUAAUCAAUCGCAAUCCAGAUCCCAGAGUGUAAUCAUAAUUAAUGUUCAGCCCUGAUUGAUCAUGGCACGGUUUCACUGUGUUCGCGGGGAUGAGCUGGGAUGACAGAACCGACCAUUUAAUGGUGCCUUUGCAGAACCCCCCCAUCCCUUCUCCUGCAGGAGGGACAGAGGUGAUUGUCCCCAAAAAUCAAAGCAGCUGGAAGGGGGGACGUCUCGAGGGUGCUGAGGGGUGGUGCUCAGCCACAGGCUGCUCAUGCAUGGGGUAGGUGACAGUGGCACCCACACCAUUCCCGUGGGCCCAGGCCCCAGGCAGCACCCAGCGUCUGGCCAAAAUUACAGCUGGAGGCUGGC
rnacentral:lncRNA from 1 species